CUGGGCUCCACCGACCGCGGCCACAGUCCUGAGCACGGCUUCUGUCAGGACACCCUGUGGCCCGGUGUUGGUCUGGCGGUGCGCCGUCUCCAGUGUGGCUGGGUGGUGUGCAGCCAAGGCGCCUGCCGCCAACUCUCACCUCCGCCUAGGGGUCAGCCUGGGCAUCCCGUGCUGGUCUUGGGCGCCUCUGUGAGCUUUAGACAGAAGUGCAGCAGCACUGAGCAAAGCUUUUAUUUCAGAAGAAGCGAGCGGGCAGUAUGGGCUUCCCGCCCCUGUAGCAGGGGGAGCUCGUGUGUAAGCCAAUGGGGCUCAGGCGGCCCAGCGGCCUUCUCGGCUGUGACGGCCUGACUCAGCUACGGGCAGUGUUGGAAGUGAGACCACAGGGGACAGCUGGUCCUCCUUGUGCUCCCAAUAUGAUGUCACCUGCCUCAGGUGUGCCUGCCAGGCUCUGCUUUCCUCAUCACGGGGCACACUGGAAAGAGCCACUGUGCAGCCCCACUGAGAGUGAGGUGCUCACCCUCUGCGGUGUGAGCCUACAGGUUCCAGGUCGUGCAGACUCAGCUCGCUCUCCAGUGCUACCGACACGGCUGGGGUGUGCCCAUUGUCUUCACUCUGCUUCAUUUGGCCAGUGAUGCCCACGGCACCGGACUGCAGACGGAAGCUAGGUACAAGCCGGCCGUGCGGCUCGCAGCCUCCCGUCCCAUGCUGGCGUCAGCCUCUGACACAAUGGCUGGGAAGCUGCUGGGCCAGACUUGUGCCGCAGUGCGACGCCCCAAGGCUGCCACCUCUGCUACCUUCUGGGAGAACGUUCUCGUCUGCCUUGCUGCUGGCUAUGGACAAGAAAGACACUGCAUAGCCGGAGGUGGCAGGGAGGAGCACACCUCGCAGCCUGGCUCUACCAAAGUCCCUGGGACGUAGGCAAAGGUGGAUGAGGACUCCUGUGAGGUGUGGUGUAUCUUCUGCAUGGAGUGGACACUCGCCCUGGACAGAUGUUUCAGAACAAGCUCGCUCUCUAGGACCUACUUCUCGCGGAGCACCAGCUGACAAAUGAGGUCCAGUCUUCAGUGAGCGGCGCCGCUACUGCCUUGACAGAGGUGGCCACCCCUCCAGGACGCCCACUGCCACACAGAGCUGAGGACGGAUGGUGGCUGCAUUUUUGGCCGGCCAAGCCUGCAGUGGCAGGAGGUAAGUGGGCCUUCCUCAUAUGAGCUGGACAGGCCUAAAGCUGAAGCCCAUGGGUGACCACGGGUCUAGGGCCACCCCAGGAUGUUUGGUUUCCACCCACCAGUGCCCUGCUCAGCAAACUCAACAUCGUGUUUGCCAAGAUACUUUCCUUGCACAAAGUCCACUCGCCUCCUGCGCUCCCUGCUACUCCAACAAGCUGGCCAGGCUGUCUCCACUUUGGCUCAGGCCUCAGACCCCUGCACUUGAGCAGCGUCUGGCCUGCUCGAUGCCCAAACCCCGCACUUUUGGCCCCGUCACCAGGUACAGGAGGGAACACACUGUGCCCCCCAGUAACUCUGGCCACACGGUACACAGAGAACGCGCUGCCCCAGGAGGGGAAGUGCUCCCCCCACCCCCGCAGGUGUUUGCUUUUCGUUGGACAGGCAGCAGAGCUGUCCGGCAAUCAACAGAUCAAAACAAAGCACACCGAUUUCUGCAAGCCCUGGUGCCGCUGCCACAGGUAAGCUCCUUCCACCACACAGCUCACUUGUCCCAAGGCCGCCUGCCCCUGCCCAGGUGGCCAGCACGCACACCCACCCGUUAGUUACCUCACAGCCAGCUCAGCUGCCACCCGCCCGUCAGCUCUGGGGCCAAGCAGUCCUGACCCGGGGAGGAGGAGGGUACUCACG